CGUUAUAAUAGUUGAAUUUUUCAUAUUUUUCGGUUUGUGCAUGAUCUGCACUUUUUGUUCUGUUUUUGGAUACAUCAUUGUGGCUAAUUGUUGUAUGUCAAGAGGUGGCAUGUAUCGACAUUAUUGAAGAAUGCUCAAUUUAUUUUUAUCAUCAAUAAAUGUUUAGCACAAU
ensembl:lincRNA linc-170 ncRNA